rnacentral:rRNA from 1 species
GACAGAGGGUGCAAACGUUGUUCGGAAUUACUGGGCGUAAAGCGUGUGUAGGCGGUUCGCAAAGUCGGAUGUGAAAGCCCCGGGCUCAACCUGGGAAGUGCACUCGAUACUGGCGAACUAGAGUAUUGGAGAGGUCGGUGGAAUUCUCGGUGGAGAGGUGAAAUUCGUAGAUAUCGAGGGGAACACCAGUGGCGAAGGCGGCCGACUGGACAAAUACUGACGCUGAGACACGAAAGCGUGGGGAGCAAACAGG